rnacentral:rRNA from 1 species
UACAGAGGUCUCAAGCGUUGUUCGGAUUCAUUGGGCGUAAAGGGUGCGUAGGCGGCGCGAUAAGUCGGGUGUGAAAUCUCGGGGCUUAACUCCGAAACUGCAUUCGAUACUGCCGUGCUUGAGGACUGGAGAGGAGACUGGAAUUUACGGUGUAGCGGUGAAAUGCGUAGAUAUCGUAAGGAAGACCAGUGGCGAAGGCGGGUCUCUGGACAGUUCCUGACGCUGAGACGCGAAAGCGUGGGGAGCGAACAGG